rnacentral:rRNA from 1 species
UACGGAGGGUGCAAGCGUUAUCCGGAUUCACUGGGCUUAAAGGGCGCGUAGGUGGGUUGCCAAGUCAGUGGUGAAAUCUCCGAGCUUAACUCGGAAACUGCCAUUGAUACUAUAGAUCUUGAAUUAUCUGGAGGUGAGCGGAAUAUGUCAUGUAGCGGUGAAAUGCUUAGAUAUGACAUAGAACACCAAUUGCGAAGGCAGCUCACUACGGAUUGAUUGACACUGAGGCACGAAAGCGUGGGGAUCAAACAGG